CAAUAGCGUAUAUUAAAGUUGUUGCAGUUAAAAAGCUCGUAGUUGGAUUUCUGGUGGGAGCGAUCGGUCUGGCGCUUAGCGCGAGUACUUGCAUCGUCUCCGGCCAUCCUUGGGGAGAGUCUGUCUGGCAUUAGGUUGUCGGGCAGAGGAUCCUCAUCGUUUACUGUGAAAAAAUUAGAGUGUUCAAAGCAGGCUUAUGCCGUUGAAUAUAUUAGCAUGGAAUAAUAAGAUAGGGCUUUGGCACUAUUUUGUUGGUUUGCGCACCAAAGUAAUGAUUAAUAGGGACAGUUGGGGGUAUUCGUAUUCCGUUGUCAGAGGUGAAAUUCUUGGAUUUACGGAAGACGAACUACUGCGAAAGCAUUUACCAAGGAUGUUUUCAUUAA
rnacentral:rRNA from 1 species